rfam:Schistosoma mansoni, Puerto Rico, WGS project CABG01000000 data, contig: 0435
GCACUGCUGAAAAGUCCCAGAAUAGAACGAAAUGGCCGUUCAGUGC